rnacentral:rRNA from 1 species
UAGCAAACAGGAUUAGAUACAGUGGUAGUCCACGCUGUAACCGAUGAGCGCUAUGUGUUGGCCAGCGAUGGUCAGUGCCGCAGUAACACACAUUAAGCACUCCGCCUGGUGGAGUCACGGUCGCAAGACUGAAACUCAAAGGAAUUGACGGGGACCCGCACAAGCAGCGGAGUCAUGUGGUUUAAUUCGAAGCAACGUGAAGAACCUUACCAAGGCUUGACAUCCCCUUGACCAGUGCAGAGAUGUACUCUUCUCUUCGGAGACAAGGGUGACAGGUGGUGCAUGGUUGUCGUCAGCUAGUGUCGUGAGAUGUUGGGUUAAGUCCCGCAACGAGCGCAACCCUUAUCCUUAGUUGCCAGCAGGUAAAGUUGGGCACUCUAAGGAGACUGCCGAUGAUAAAUCGGAGGAAGGUGGGGAUGACGUCAAAUCAUCAUGCCCCUUAUGUCUUGGGCUACACACGUGCUACAAUGGUCGGUACAAAGGGAAGCGAAAGAGUGAUCUGGAGCAAAUCCUAAUAACACCGAUCUCAGUUCGGAUUGUAGGCUGCAACUCGCCUACAUGAAGUCGGAGUUGCUAGUAAUCGCGAAUCAGAACGUCGCGGUGAAUUCGUUCCCGGGUCUCGUACACACCGCCCGUCACACCAUCGAAGUUGGUAAUACCCAAAGUCGCUGGGCUAACCGUAAGGGGGCAGGCGCGUAAGGCAGGAUCAAUGACUGGGUGCG